rnacentral:rRNA from 1 species
CGGACGGGUGAGUAACACGUGGAUAACCUACCUAUAAGACUGGGAUAACUUCGGGAAACCGGAGCUAAUACCGGAUAAUAUUUUGAACCGCAUGGUUCAAAAGUGAAAGACGGUCUUGCUGUCACUUAUAGAUGGAUCCGCGCUGCAUUAGCUAGUUGGUAAGGUAACGGCUUACCAAGGCAACGAUGCAUAGCCGACCUGAGAGGGUGAUCGGCCACACUGGAACUGAGACACGGUCCAGACUCCUACGGGAGGCAGCAGUAGGGAAUCUUCCGCAAUGGGCGAAAGCCUGACGGAGCAACGCCGCGUGAGUGAUGAAGGUCUUCGGAUCGUAAAACUCUGUUAUUAGGGAAGAACAUAUGUGUAAGUAACUGUGCACAUCUUGA